rnacentral:rRNA from 1 species
GUAAACGGCGGCCGUAACUAUAACGGUCCUAAGGUAGCGAAAUUCCUUGUCGGGCAAGUUCCGACCUGCACGAAUGGCAUAAUGAUGGCCACACUGUCUCCUCCUGAGACUCAGUGAAGUUGAAAUGUUUGUGAUGAUGCAAUCUCCCCGCGGCUAGACGGAAAGACCCCAUGAACCUUUACUGCAGCUUUGCAUUGGACUUUGAACCGAUCUGUGUAGGAUAGGUGGGAGGCAGUGAAGCUAGGACGCCAGUCUUAGCGGAGCCAACCUUGAAAUACCACCCUGAUUUGUUUGAGGUUCUAACCUAGGAGCGUGAUCCGCUUCGGGGACCGUGCAUGGUAGGCAGUUUGACUGGGGCGGUCUCCUCCUAAAGGGUAACGGAGGAGUGCGAAGGUACGCUAGGUACGGUCGGAAAUCGUGCUGAUAGUGCAAUGGCAAAAGCGUGCUUGACUGCGAGACCGACAAGUCGAGCAGAUACGAAAGUAGGUCAUAGUGAUCCGGUGGCUCUGCAUGGAAGGGCCAUCGCUCAACGGAUAAAAGGUACUCUGGGGAUAACAGGCUGAUACCGCCCAAGAGUUCAUAUCGACGGCGGUGUUUGGCACCUCGAUGUCGGCUCAUCUCAUCCUGGGGCUGUAGCCGGUCCCAAGGGUAUGGCUGUUCGCCAUUUAAAGAGGUACGUGAGCUGGGUUUAAAACGUCGUGAGACAGUUUUGUCCCUAUCUGCCGUGGGCGUUGGAAGAUUGACGGGGGCUGCUCCUAGUACGAGAGGACCGGAGUGGACUCACCUCUGGUGUACCGGUUGUCACGCCAGUGGCAUCGCCGGGUAGCUAUGUGGGGAAAGGAUAACCGCUGAAAGCAUCUAAGCGGGAAACCUGCCUGAAGAUAAGUCUUCCUGGAGGCUUUGACCUCCCUGAAGAGUCGUUCGAGACCAGGACGUUGAUAGGUUGGAUGUGCAAGCGCUGUGAGGCGUUGAGCUGACCAAUACUAAUUGCUCGUGAAGCUUGAUCCU